rnacentral:rRNA from 1 species
UACGUAGGGUCCGAGCGUUGUCCGGAAUUAUUGGGCGUAAAGAGCUCGUAGGCGGUUUGUCGCGUCUGCUGUGAAAUCCCGAGGCUCAAUCUCGGGUCUGCAGUGGGUACGGGCAGACUGGAGUGCGGUAGGGGAGAAUGGAAUUCCUGGUGUAGCGGUGGAAUGCGCAGAUAUCAGGAGGAACACCGAUGGCGAAGGCAGUUCUCUGGGCCGUAACUGACGCUGAGGAGCGAAAGCGUGGGGAGCGAACAGG